rnacentral:rRNA from 1 species
CCGAGUUGAAUGCACCCGAAGUGGCUGACCCAACCUGCUUGCAGGAGGGAGGUUCCUAAGGAGUGUUCAGUGAGGGGGGUGAAGUCGUAACAAGGUAUCCCUACGGGAACGUGGGGAUGGAUCACCUCCUUU